rnacentral:lncRNA from 1 species
UUCCCUUAACUGUACAUUGUUUGUUUUUAUAAAAUUCCAAAUUUUGGUCUUUAUUUAAAGCAAUGUAUAUUUUUAGCCUAUUAACCGCCCGAUAAUGCUAACUCCAUACUGAACUGCUCAAUAUCUUAUCGAUUGGCUAGCGGAUCAGUACAUUUAAAGCUGAUAACCGAUAAGCCGAAUUGUUAAGCGUAAAUAUACACUAGAUCCACACGAUAAGCAACCCUACUUUUAAGUAGCAUGAUUAUGUAAAAAUUCUUUGCUUAUAGCAUAAUGGAGCGUCUUUGUAUAUAAUUUAAAUUCAAUUAGUAGUAAACUCUGGGAUCUUGGCAUAAUUAAUACCAUUGCAUGAAGAUCUCGCUGAGAAAUUGAAAUUGAUUCACCAAUUUCAGCAAAUCAAAGGCCGAAAAUAGCAGUUGUUAGUGUUAGUAUUUUAAGCAAAAAUUAAACUCAUUCAUCACCCGGCCCCUUUUCGACCAAUUAACAGACAAACGUCUACUACGACCUGAGCUAAAAGUCAUGGCAGUAGUUUCAGAUUCCUCGCUAGCGCUAUACUGCCGUUUCAACUUCCCUUGCCCUUUGCAUUACUAAAAUUCUAUUGGAUUUAACUUACCAAUUAUAUAAAUUUGAAAAAUGUAUGUUUUUAGCCUUUUCCAAAAAUAAUAACUCACUAAUUUUUUUUUUGGUAAUAUAUGUAUUAUAUACAUAAUAUAUAUAUAUAUAUAUUUUAUAUACAUUUUGACUAGUAAAUUCAAUUAGUUUCGGUCGGCCGACCAAUUAUGUAUUUUUCCCAAAAAUUUGUCACAGUAGGUUCAUUCUAAAUUCUAAUGUACAUCAUAUAUUAGUUUAAUUAGCCACCUUAUCAUCUAAUUGUGCUAUACCAAGAAGAAAUUCUUCUUUCUUGAGUCAUAAGUUGAGAUAAUGCACGAAAUUUAAUCCAAUAAUCCCAUGAUUUCAAUACUAAGUUACUCGUCGCUUAAGUAAGAAAGUCAUCUACAAAAGGUAAAAAAAGAGUGAAAGAGAGCUCUAGUAAUAAUUCUCUUUCGACAUAGAAGAAGUUUUACACUAGCAAUAUAUUUUCAUUAAGUUUUAUUGUCACGACCCAAGUUCUCCCUCCGUGAACUGUCGCGACGGCACCUAGUCUUUACGACUAGGUAAGCCUAACAAUUGCGGAAAAAGAAAAUAAAGAUACGAAACUAGCAAUUUACGAGUAACAUAAUAAAGAAGUUUAAAAUGCCGCUCGGCAUAUACAAUAACACUCUCUCAAACGGAACACAAAGCACUUCCAAAACCCGAAAUCUCAUGAAAUCACAAGCUACAUAAGUACAUAGUGUAUCUAAUCUCCAGAAAGUCUAACAACGAAGAAAAAUACAGGAAGUCUAUAACUAAAAGAGGAAUAGAGAGGGACUUCUAGGUCUGCGGACGCGGCAGAUAUACUUAGAAGUCUCUGGAUCGCCUCGCCUCACUAGAAGUAUGGCUAAGAAAUAGAACCUGGAUCUGCACAUGGAAAAUAUGUGCAGGAAAGGUCAUGGGUACACCACAACGGUACUCAGCAAAUGCUAAACCUAACCUCAGUCGAGUAGUGACGAGGAAGGUCAGGACCCUACUGGUUAUGUAUAUAAAACAAGGUACAACAGUAUGAAAUGUGACAGUAUAGUUAAAAUACUAAUAGUCGAGUAAGAAUAAAAUCACAGAAAAAAUAUAACUAAGUAUACAGUGAUAGCAACAGGGGAUCUCCUGGGAUAUCGUCCCUUAGUCCCAAACGUAAAUGUGUAGAGGAUCUCCCGGGAUAUCGUCCCGUAGUCCAAAUCAUAAAUAUGUAGGGGAAUCUCCCAGAAUAUCGAUCUGUAGUCCCAAAGUAAUUAUCCAAUACAGGGGGAAUCUCCGGGGCAUCGUCUCGUAGUCCCAAUUAUAAAUGUGCAGGGGUAUCUCCCGGAAUACCGAUCCGUAGUCCCAAAGUAAACACACAACAGUCUCAAGAAAGAAUCCUACAAUUCUAUUCAAGUUCAUAUCAGGAAAAUAGGAAAUUUCUACCCUAAACAUGCUACACAAAAUCCAAGUAAGCAGUUAAAGCAGGUAAGACAGUUAAGUCACAUAAGCAUGCUUUCCUAAGCUAAACAGGAGGCUUCAUAUACUAGUAUUGCUCAGUUAAAAGAAAACAUAGAUAUUUACUUAAUGAAAACAAGGAUUUUCAAUAAUUAGCACAUGUACGCACUCGUCAUCUCACGUAUAACAACAGUACCAAAAUCCAAAGGGGGGUUCCCCCCCAAGGUUAGGCAAGCCACUUAUCUCGAACCAGCUCAAAAUCAAUCUGAUAUCACGCUCUUUCCAUGAGUAUCCAACUCCGAGUGGUCCAAAUCUAAACAAAUUAAUUACAUAAUGUAAAUAAAACUACAAGCAACUAAUUUAACUAAUGUAUUCAAAGCUAUAGCAAGAAAUUAGAAAAACGCCCAAAAAUCCUCCUCGGGCCCACGUCUCGGAAUCGAGUAUUAGUUAAAAUUUUAGAACACCCAUUUACUCACGAGACCACUGGUCCAAAAAUCACUCAAUUGCGACAGCUAAAACCCAAUCAAAACCCAAAAACUUGGUUGGGGAACUUUUCCCCCAAAUCCCCAUUCUUCCACUCAAAUUCAUAGAUUAAAUGAGGAAAAUAAUACUCCAUCUGUUCCAAUUUAUGUGAACCUAUUUCUUUUUUGGUCCAUUCCAAAAAGAAUAAUCCCUUUUUAAAUUUGGUAACAAUUUAGCUUAAACUUCCAAUUCUACCCUUAAUGAGCAGCUUUUAUAAGCACACAAAUACUCUAGGCCCCCUUUUGCUUUGUUUAGGACCACAAAUUCCAAAAGUCUUCAUUAUUUCUUAAACUCCGCGCCUAGUCAAACAAGUUUACAUAAAUUGGAGCAGAGGGAGUAAUAGAUUAGUGCAUUAGGACCAAAUUAGAGUUUGAAUUUAUUACCCAAUCUUUCUCCUUCAAAAUCUCUCCAGAAAUCACCCUCCACCGAGCUCCAAUUCGAUUUUAGAAGUUAUGAAUUUCAAACCCUCGUUUUCUCUUUUUCUGCCCAGUGAAUUCCGCUUCUGCGAGGGGUCCACCGCACCUGCGGUCACAUUCCUGCGGCCUACGAAAUUUCAUUAAACGACCGGAUUUCCGCAUAUGCGCCCCUUUACUCACAGAUGCGGUUCCGCUCCUGCAGUCCUGGAGCCGCAUCUGCGACCUCUGAUCUCCAAGCCUCAUACCGCAUCUACGGUCACCAAUCCUCUUCUGCGGCGCCGCACCUGCGGUCCAAACUCCGCAGCUGUGAAACCAACAGGUUUAACAAAAUUUUAGAAAUUGCCUAAGUCCAAAUUCACUUUCGUUAAGCAUCCGAAACUCACCUGAGGCCCCCAGGACCUUAACCAAACAUACCAACUAAUCCUAAAACAACAUACAGACUCAGUCGAACCCUCAAAUUAUAUCAAACAACUCUAAAACCAUGAAUCACCCUCCUAUCCAAGCCUAAUGAACUUGAAAUCUCAAGAAUUGUCNNNNNNNNNNNNNNNNNNNNNNNNNNNNNNNNNNNNNNNNNNNNNNNNNNNNNNNNNNNNNNNNNNNNNNNNNNNNNNNNNNNNNNNNNNNNNNNNNNNNNNNNNNNNNNNNNNNNNNNNNNNNNNNNNNNNNNNNNNNNNNNNNNNNNNNNNNNNNNNNNNNNNNNNNNNNNNNNNNNNNNNNNNNNNNNNNNNNNNNNNNNNNNNNNNNNNNNNNNNNNNNNNNNNNNNNNNNNNNNNNNNNNNNNNNNNNNNNNNNNNNNNNNNNNNNNNNNNNNNNNNNNAAAUACUCUAGGCCCCCUUUUGCUUUGUUUAGGACCACAAAUUCCAAAAGUCUUCAUUAUUUCUUAAACUCCGCGCCUAGUCAAACAAGUUUACAUAAAUUGGAGCAGAGGGAGUAAUAGAUUAGUGCAUUAGGACCAAAUUAGAGUUUGAAUUUAUUACCCAAUCUUUCUCCUUCAAAAUCUCUCCAGAAAUCACCCUCCACCGAGCUCCAAUUCGAUUUUAGAAGUUAUGAAUUUCAAACCCUCGUUUUCUCUUUUUCUGCCCAGUGAAUUCCUCUUCUGCAAGGGUUCCACCGCACUUGCGGUCCCGCUCCUGUGGCUCUUACUCCGCACCUGCGAAAUUUCAUUAAACGACCGGAUUUCCGCACAUGCGCCCCUUUACUCGCAGAUGCGGUUCCGCUUCUGCAGUCCUGGAGCCGCAUCUGCGACCUCUGAUCUCCAAGCCUCAUACCGCAUCUACGGUCACCAAUCCUCUUCUGCGGCGCCGCACCUGCGGUCCAAACUCCGCAGCUGUGAAACCAACAGGUUUAACAAAAUUUUAGAAAUUGCCUAAGUCCAAAUUCACUUUCGUUAAGCAUCCGAAACUCACCUGAGGCCCCCAGGACCUUAACCAAACAUACCAACUAAUCCUAAAACAACAUACAGACUCAGUCGAACCCUCAAAUUAUAUCAAACAACUCUAAAACCAUGAAUCACCCUCCUAUCCAAGCCUAAUGAACUUGAAAUCUCAAGAAUUCUACAACCGUUGUCGAAACCAACCAAACCAUACCGAUUGACCUCAAAUUUUGCACACAAGUCACAUUCAUCACUACAAAACUAUUCCAACUUUCGGAACCAAAUUCUGACCCCGAUAUCAAAAUCUCACUAUCGAUCUGGAAACUUCAAAAAUUUAACUUUCGGCAUUUCAAGCCUAAAUAAGCUAUGGACCUCCAAAACCCAAUCUGCAUAUGCCCCUAAGCCCGAAAUCACCCAACAGAGCUAAUGGAAUCGACGGAAUUCCAUUCCGAGGCUGUCUUCACACUGUUCCGACUACGAUCCAACUUCUAAGCUUAAACUCUCAUUUGAGGACUAAGUUCCCUAAAAUACUCUGAAACUCAAAACGAAUCUUCCCGGCAACUCACAAUAGCAGAAACAAACACGGGGAAAACAAUUAAUAGGGGAUCGAGGCAUUAAUUCUCAAAACGACCGGCCUAGUCGUUACAUCCUCCCCCUCUUAAAUAUUUGUUCAUCCUCGAACGAGUAUAGAGACAUACCUGAAAUGGUGAAAAGAUGAGGGUAACGACUGCACAUAUCCAACUCGGUCUCCCAAGUCGCCUCCUCAACCGACUGACCCCGGCACUGAACCUUUACUGAUGCAAUGCUCUUUGACCUCAGCUUUCGAACUUUCCUGUCCAAUAUCGCCACUGGCUCCUCAACAUAGGAUAGAUCUGUCACGACCCAAACCGAAGGGCCGCGAAGGGCACCCGGUGCCUUACUCAACCGAGUACCAACAUAACAUAUUUUUCUUAUUAUACUCUCUUAAGUAAAUGAGCCAGAAACCCGUCAUGAGAUAACAAGAAUAAAUCAUAAGGGAAUACUCACCAUAUGACGAUCCAACAUGAUAUACAAACUUAUACAUGUGACAUACAGGCCUAGAAGGCCGACAUGACCAUUUGUAAACUCAACACAUAGGCCAAUAAGGCCAUACACAUAUCCAUAAACCUGAUAUCUGUCUACAAGCCUCUAAGAGUACAUAAAAUCAUAAAGGUCGGGACAGUGCCCGCCAUACCAAUCAAUACAUAUCCAAAGCAUACUGACCAAAUAGGCAACUCCGGAGCAAGUGGAGUGCACCAACACCUCCGCUGAGCUGAUAGCCUACUAGGAAGACUAUCAACCAAUCAAUCGGGACCUGCAGGCAUGAAACGCAGCGUCCCCAAGCAAAAAGGAUGUCAGUACAAAUAAAGUACCGAGUAUGUAAGGCAGGAAAGCAUAAACAAGAACAUUAAUGUAAAGAGAGAUAGAGGAGAUACAACCUGUAACAUGUGCGUGCCUCUAGGAGCUACUGACAUGAAGUGCAUAAUACAUAUAUAUACAUAAACUUUUAAAAACAUACGUCUCUAUAGGCAUCAUCAUCAUCAUCAUCAUAUCGUACCCGGCCUCAAAGAGGACUCGGUAAAAAUGUACCCGGCCAUCAUAAGGCUCGGUAGAAUCGUACUCGACCACGUGGAACUCGAUAAAUCCAACUGAUCAGUGGUUGCACAAUAGGUGUCGUACCCGACCUACUAUAGUGCGGCUCGGUAGAUCAAAAUAGAUAUUAUAUAUAAUGCAUGCUAGACUCAUGGAAUCACGUUCUAAACCUUUCAGAGUGACGUAAGGUCAUUUCACCUUUGAUUACCAUUAUGGACAUCAUACCAUCAAUAUGAACUUCACUAGGACUCAAGGAUCAUACAUACUUUCUUAGAAUAACUUUGUACGGAAAUAACAACAUGUACAACCUUAUUUGCUAGGAGUAGAUUCAUUAUUAAAUAGUGUAUCGUUUAUGUUCAUUUCAAUUUAGAUCAUGCCAAAAGAAAGAAGAAAGUACCUUAACUACGGUGAGUCCUUAAUACCUCCCAAGCUACUCUUCAAACAACUCAACUCAAUCCACCAUUACAUAAGGAAAUUCAAAAUCAGUGUUGAAUAAAGGCUAAAUCUGUAACUUAAACUUGUAGCUCGUUUAUAUAAAUUCGGGCAGCAUAUCCCCUGUAACAAGAGCCUCCUCCAAUAUAAUAUACCCACAAAAAUUACCAGAGAAAUCCUACAUAAUCAUCAAUAACAAGAUACCAUAAAACAACAACAAGUCAUAACUAUUUUACGACGAGCGGCAAGCUCCAAUUGGAAUUCGUAUACCCCAUAUCAUCCCUUAUAGACUUUUUACUUUAACUUAAUAGUAUCAUUAACAUGAUAAUGAAGUAAUUCAUCAGUAAUUCCAGCCUUAUACCAUAUAUCCAUAACAAAGAAAAUGAUCCACAACUCCAAUUAUUCUUAAUUGGCAACUUUAUUCACUAGUUCAUGUCUAAUUCAUCCAUUUAACUCAACCGAUGUCAAUAUAACCUUAAGAACUUGUUGGAACACAAUAUAAUUACCUCCUAUAGUAGAUGCACGUCGAAAUUCAUGUUAUAUUUAGCUUACAACAGCCCAACAUACCCCAAUCAAUUCAUACCAAAAACAACGACUAUAGUAGUGUCCAACACCCCGAAAGUAUUAUAAAGAAUGACGAAUCCACUAUUUCACCAAUAUGUGGUGUUUCUCCACACCAUUUAUCCUCCAAAAACUCCAUUAAAUAGUAGCAAAAUAUACAACUCAAAAGCUACACGAAACAGCCCACAAAACAGUCUAUUACAAAUCAAAUAACUCGAACUCACGGCUUCCGAUCACCGUCCCGUGAGUUCUAAAUAUUAUGAAAUGAAUUAAUCAACCUUACUUGAUAUUUAAGAUAUUGAAACCAGAAAUUAGGCAUUUUUAUUAACUUCAAACUACCUUCCAAAACUCAAACUACAAAGAAAAAGAGAGGUUAUAUAGCAAUACUUACGUCGUAUGGAUCGUUCUUGUGUUAUUGCUUCGUGAUUUCGUGCCUCGGAUGAUAGUAUCGUUGAAAAUCCUUAUGGAGGACUUGAGGAUGAGUUUAGGGGUGUUAUAUGGUCGAGAUCUCUAGAAAACCAAAGUAAGAGACGAGACAGAGAGAUAAACAUCCCCUUUUCUAAAAGUCAAAAAGGUGCCACGUGUCACUCUCUCAUUGGCCUUUUUUUCAAACGCUUAUAUCUUUUUAUCUGGAUGUCGUAUAAACAAACGGUUAAGAGCGUUGGAAACUACAUUACAUGACCUUCAAUUUAGUAUGUAAUAUGUCCCAAAAAUAUCUCAUAAAGCACACGAAAUAUAUUACUAAAAAAAACUUCAUUACAAGGCAAAUCCUUAGUCGGUUUUUCCGCAACUUAAAUCCGAUUUUUCUCAAACUUUAUACUUCAUAUUCAAACAUCAUAUAUAGUCAUAUAAUGUCUUUAAACUCAUUUAAAUCAUGAUUAACAAGUCUCAUAUUCAUGUUAACUUGCGUAACACUUCGGCAAACCUUUCUUGUCCUUGUAGAAGGAUUUCAUCCUUUUUGAGUUUACGUUAGAUAAUCCUAUAAUGAUAGUAACAUAUGAAGUACGGGGUGUAACAACAUGUACCCUUAUAAAAAUUUAUCCUUGAAUAUUAACUCUCAAAGGCUUGAAAAAGAAAUAUGGGAUGUAACACCAUUAAAUUACUUUAUAUACUUUCCAAGAGGAUCUCAUUUUCGAGCUUACAUCAACGGACUUACGAUGUACUUUUACAUACAAAAAUAUGGGUUGUAACAUUAUUCCCCCCUUUGGAACAUUCGUCCUCGAAUGUUGACUGAUGCGCUUCUCAUUCUCAUACCAUAUGGCUCUUAUGAAUACUUUAACAUUGUCCUUUGUCAUCUAGGCAAUUGUUCUAUGAAUAAAUUUAAAAACCAGGGCAUUCCCCCCUUUAGUCCUAUUCUCACCUCGCGAAUUAUGGCUGGAGUCCUUCCGAUCUCGUAACUUCGACUACCUUCUAUGAUGUAUCCUAUAUGAAUAUGCCCUUUUAUGCACGACUCUUCUCUCCUUUUUCCUCCAGCUUUUUGCCAAUCUGUUGGCUUCACUUUGUGAAUACAAAUAUAGAACUAUGACAAGAUGUCCCUCUGGGCAUAUAUAGGUAUACUUAAGUUCAUCGCUUGGUACUUUGCUGAAUGUACGACUAUUUCUAUAUUUCGUUUUAUAGCUUUGGUAUUAUUACCGAGGUGUGCUACACAACUCUAGGUUACUUUCUAAUUGCUUGUCCCAUAACCUGCUGGCGCAACCCUUCCACAUUAGGAACAUAUAAUCGACCUCGAUAUCUAAGGACUCUUUCUCACCCUACUACAUUAGGAACAUAUAAUCGACCUCAAUAUCUAAGGACUCUAUCUCCUGUAAUCUCAAGUAGUGUCUUCUCCUUUUGAAGGGUUGUAUCUCUAUAAUAAUCUAGCACAUGAUCUUCAUACUGGCAUUCCUUCACUUCAGCUACUAAAGAGGAGAUUUCCAUGUCCUAAGUAGUAACUCUGGUACCACAUGCAUCUAGUAAUAGAAUUCCAAGAUUAGCUAGUAGAUGAAUCUCGCAAGCUAUCUCACUCUUCUAUGCCUGUAAAUAUGAUAGGCUAAACAUAGAUCUACGAUUGAGGGCGUUGACUAAUACAUUCGCCUUCCCUGGAUGAUAUAAAGUAUAAACGUCAUAGUCCUUCACUAACUCCAACCAUCGCCUCGGAUGUAAUACAUUGUCACUAAGGCUCACGUCUCAUCAGGGAACAUCUGAAGUGAUUUUCUUGAUGCACCUAGGGACGAUACUAUACUUCAAUAACUGCAUUUUCAUAACAUCCCAACAUAUUCAUCUUAUGAGGGAAUUCUAAUACCGUGCCAUCCAUGAAAUCUCUUUUCUUUAAAUCAUUACUCAAUCGAAGGCCCAAACGUCAUUCUCUUAACUAUCACAAUUACACCCUUAUUCUACUACCAGGGCAGUAUUCCAUCUUUUCUAAUUGCUCAUGUUCUUAUACUCCUAUGAGUUCAUUCAAAGUGUACCGAGCUUUCUAUAGCUCAUGGAAAUCAUCAAACCUCUUGUUUUGACGGGUUUAGUCCUGAGACCUUGCCUAUUAUUGUCACUUCUCACUCAUAUUUACCAUACUUACCUUUAAAUCUCGCACCGUAUCUUCUAUCAAUUUCAUAACCUCCCUUCUACAUUAGUGGAAUUCACAUCCAUACCUUAAAGCUCUACUAUAAUACUUGCAACCCUGGUGCAUACACAAUCUGGUAGGAGCUUCGUAUUAACGUCUUAUGAGGCUAGUACUCUUCUAAUUACUUUAUCGUAGAGCUUUUAUAGAAUAUGAUUGUUGUACUAUCCCUCUUAUACCUCUGCUAUUAAAAGUGCUCCUGCUAUGGUUUGAGUCACGAUUUCUAUAAUCAUCUGGGUCUAACAAUCGGACUCGUGAUGUAACUUUCGAACUUCCUCUACCUUAUCAGCCUUUAAUUAAGCUUAGACUAUCUUCCAAUCUUCAGCUUAGGGUAUUAGCUAUUACAUUAGCCUUUCAUGGACUCUAUGUAGCAUCCAUGAUAUAAUCUUCUAACAAUUCAAGUCUUUGUCGGUGACGUGGACUUAAUUAUUUCUUUUACUUAUACUAGAGUCUCCUAUAGCUGUAUGAAUGUCAUGGAUAUAAAUCUGAAAUCUUAAGUGUGUUCACAACGCAACCAACUCUGGGUCAUUGAUUGAAUAAUUCCUUUCGUGCCUUCUCAGCGUUCUUUAAAUCUAAGCAAUCACUUUUCCUGGUCGUUAUGCCACUUGUUGCGUGAAUACUUGGCUUAUCUUAUUGCCCACCAAUACUUGAAUUUCCUAUAACUCAUAUAAUCUCAAAUAUCACUUCUGACUUCCCGUUCAUUAAUCACGAUAAGUGCCACUUUCUUAUGAAGUGUAUACCAUGUUGUAGUGAGACUAUUGUUACAAGACCAUUUCUUCUUUAGAUCGGUUAUGCUUAAGUUGAAGCCUUCUUCCUUAUUUCCUCAGCUAGUCUUUCUUUGUAGUACUUAAGGAGACCUUCUGGAUCUUGUAAAGUUACGACCAUGUUAUACUGUAUUCCCGAAGGAAUUUUCGAUAUUCUUACUCGCCUACAAACAUCCUUAGUUACAUACCUUCGUGCCCUUGUGCUCGUAGGGUUACUUCUAAACUCAGAUUUUGAUUGUCUCGUUAUUGGCACUCUCCAUUAUUUCCGUAACACUUAUACGGUACCUUUAGUAAUCCAACUCUUAUCUGAAUACUUCUCAAGGUUACGACAUCAUAUCUGUGAGACUGAAUUUACUAGAUUAGGAUUCACGACGUUUAUCUUGCAUGAUUUGCUUAUAACCUUUUGUCUAGCCAUAAAUUAGCUUUUCCUGAAUCAACUACAAACUACUCGUUGGUCCAUUCUCAUAUCUAUAUUCCUCGUAAUCUCUCUUUGGUUAUUUACUUUGUCUUAAUUUACCUCCCACGCUCACUCCUUAUGUAUCGAGUAUUCAUUUUCACUUAUUUAUCAACAUCAUCGGGUGUGCAACACUUAAAGCUUCUCUCCGACGUCAUACUUGCAUAAUGUUCUGGAGUCAUAUCAUAUCUAUAGGAUCUGAAUAGAUUCUGUCUCAUUCCUUUCACCCUUUUACCUCAAUCCUCCUUUACUAUUCCAUAGUUACCUCUUCAUCUUGCCAUUUUUUCACAUCUUCACUAACAUCUUACUCGCCUUGCGGUAACCCCUCUAUAUCGGGGAUAAUCGAAUUUAUUACGCAUAAGGGUGACACUUAGUGUAACUGGCACAUUUAGUUCCCUAAGCUUAACUCUGCUCCACGUGCUUGCUUUAGGGAAGCAUCUUCCUAAACGAACCUUAAAGGUUAUUCUUUUGUUGUCCAUUCUAUUAUUGUCGGAAUGUUAUAUCUGAAAUUCUCAUGAUAUCAACCAUUAUAAAAUCCUUCAGUCCCUAAUUCAUGUUCAGUUUAUCUUGUUCACCAACACAUACUGAUUUUUAUUACUCUGGGGUCUAACCUUUCCUCCUGGUAAUCACGUUGAAGGCACCAACUCAUUUCUCGAAAUAAGGAUAUAACUUUAUGGCUUAUACUCUUUUAUUGCCUCAAGGCCUGUCACCUCUUGUAUUUUCCUUCACUUGACUAUGGACUCUAUCAUUGUGUCAUAUUUUGAUUUACCGUUAUCAUCCAUUUAUCACAUCUUACUCAUGAUGCUUUAUUUACUCCCUUCUUAUUCUCCGGAUAAUAUCUUUAUCUAUCACUUUAUUAUGAAAACUCUGACAAAAUAUUCUUUCCCUUUUAGCUCCCCUUUCUUCAUCUCACUGGCUCUUCGGAAUGCCUAACAUUCUCUUUUUUCUUUACUCGGGGCUGGAGUCAUACUAAGGUAAAUAUUUGCCUAUUCUAGGAUCCCACCGCCUAUCUUCUGAAAUUUAUGAAUAUUCUAGUAUUCAUAUCUGAUUGUACUAUUCUAAAGUUCACCAUCUAGGUGUCUCACAAGAAGAUAUAUUACCACAUUUGCGCUAUUGUUCGGAAACAUUAAUUAAUGAUAACAAUCCAUCCAUAAUUUUGAGUUACUCUAACCCGAGUUGAAUCUUGAUAUCACCUUCUUCUUUUAAACUAUAUUUGUUUGCUCUCAUAGGGAAAAACUGAGAUGAGUGUCGUCAAUUGUAUAUAUCACCGUUAAUAUUGAAGGUAACACCAAUACUUACAUUUCUCUGCCUGAAUUGUAAAUACUGAUAAUCUUCAUUAACUAGGUACCUCGUACCUUUCGUCAUCUUGCUUGUUUUACUUGCUGAAACUUGUGUCUACUUUCCUAUUCACUUAUUCCUUUUUACCAUACGAGUGGAUAGAUAUUCUUUCCUUAGGGAUCCUUAUCAAGAAGCUUACACAUCUUAGAACACACAUGAUCUGCUGAAGACCCCACAUUUGCUCAUCAUAAGCAUGAUGCAAAAUCGAGUUCCUCUGACUCAACUCUUCCACAACCAUAUUCAAUCUCAUACCAUCUAUUUAUUUGGAUGAGGUAUCAUUGUAUUACGAACACAAUAGAAUUUAAAAGUUUGGAUUUUUACAAUUGAGCUCUACAACACGAUCUAGAGUAAGAAGAAAGAGUGACAGUUCUAAAUGCCCCGUAGCCUCAUGCUUAUAAGUGUGGUGCACAACACACCCAUAAACAAGACUCUACUAGACACGGCUUGUAGACUACCUAGGACAGAACUGCUCUGAUACCACUUUUGUCACGACCCAAACCAAAGGGCCGCGAAGGGCACCCAGUGCCUUACUCAACCGAGUACCAACAUAACAUAUCUUUCUUAUUAUACUAUCUUAAGUAAAUGAGCCAGAAAUCCGUCAUGAGAUAACAAGAAUAAAUCAUAAGGGAAUACUCAACAUAUGACGAUCCAACAUGAUAUACAAACUUAUACAUGUGACAUACAGGCCUAUAAGGCUGACAUGACCAUUUGUAAACUCAAUACAUAGGCCAAUAAGGCCAUACACGUAUCCAUAAACCUGAUAUCUAUCUACAAGCCUCUAAGAGUACAUAAAAUCAUAAAGGUCGGGACAGGUCCCGCCAUACCAAUCAAUACAUAUCCAAAGCAUACUGACCAAAUAUGCAACUCUAGAGCAAGUGAAGUGCACCAACACCUCCGCUGAGCUGAUAGCCUACUAGGAAGACUGUCAACCUAUCAAUCGGAACCUGCGGGCAUGAAACGCAGCGUCCCCAGGCAAAAGGGACGUCAGUACAAAUAAAGUACCGAGUAUGUAAGGCAGGAAAGCAUAAACAAGAACAUUAAUAUAAAGAGAGAUAGAGGAGAUACAACCUGUAACAUCUGCGUGCCUCUGGGAGCUACUGACAUGAAGUGCAUAAUACAUAUAUAUACAUAAACUUUUAAAAACAUAUGUCUCUGUAGGCAUCAUCAUCAUCAUCAUAUCGUACCCGGCCUCAAAGAGGACUCGACAAAAAUGUACCCGACCAUCAUAAGGCUCGGUAGAAUCGUACCCGGCCACGUAGAGCUCGAUAAAUCCAACUGAUCAGUGGUUGCACAAUAGGUGUCGUACCCGGCCUACUAUAGUUCAGCUCGGUAGAUCAAAAUAGAUAUUAUAUAUAAUGCAUGCUAGACUCAUGGAAUCACGUUCUAAACCUUUCAGAGUGACGUAAGGUCGUUUCACCUUUGAUUACCAUUAUGGACAUCAUACCAUCAAUAUGAACUUCACUAGGACUCAAGGAUCAUACAUACUUUCUUAGAAUAACUUUGUACAGAAAUAACAACAUGUACAACCUUAUUUGCUAGGAGUAGAUUCAUUAUGAAAUAGUGUAUCGUUUAUGUUCAUUUCUAUUUAGAUCAUGCAAAAAGAAAGAAGAAAGUGCCUUAAUAUACCUUAACCAUGGUGAGUCCUUAAUACCUCCCAAGCUACUCUUCAAACAACUCAACUCAAUCCACCAUUACAUAAGGAGAUUCAAAAUCAGUGUUGAAAGGCUAAAUCUGCAACUUAAACUUGUAGCUCGUUUAUAUAAAUUCGGGCAGCAUAUCCCCUGUAACAAGAGCCUCCUCCAAUAUAAUAUACCCACAAAAAUUACCAGAGAAAUCCAGCAAUACAUAAUCAUCAAUAACAAGACACCAUAAAACAACAACAAGUCAUAACUAUUUUACGACGAGCGACAAGCUCCAAUUGGAAUUCGUAUACCUCAUAUCAUCCCUUAUAGACUUUUUACUUUAACUUAAUAGUAUCAUUAACAUGAUAAUGAAGUCAUUCAUCAGUAAUUCCAGCCUUAUACCAUAUAUCCAUAACAAAGAAAAUGAUCCACAACUUCAAUUAUUCUUAAUUGGCAACUUUAUUCACUAGUUCAUGUCUAGUUCAUCCAUUUAACUCAACCGAUGUCAAUAUAACCUUAAAUUGUUGGAACACAAUAUAAUUACCUCCUACAGUAGAUGCACGUCGAAAUUCAUGUUAUAUUUAGCUUACAACAUCCCAAUAUACCCCAAUCAAUUCAUACCAAAAACAACGACUAUCGUAGUAUCCAACACCCCGAAAGUAUUAUAAAGAAUGACUAAUCCACUAUUUCACCAAUAUGUGGUGUUUCUCCACAUAAUUUAUCCUCCAAAAAUUCCAUUAAAUAGCAGUAAAAUAUACAGCUCAAAAGCUACACGAAACAGCCCACAAAACAGUCCAUUACAAAUUAAAUAACUCGAACUCACGGCUUCCGAUCACCGUCCCGUGAGUUCUAAGUAUUAUGAAAUGAAUUAAUCAACCUUACUUGAUAUUUAAGAUCUUGAAACCAGAAAUUAGGAAUUUUUAUUAACUUCAAACUACCUUCCAAAACUCAAACUACAAAGAAAAAGAGAGGUUAUAUAGCAAUACUUACGUCGUGGGGAUCGUUCUUGUGUUAUUGCUUUGUGAUUUCGUGCCUCGGAUGAUAGUAUCGUUGAAAAUCCUUAUGGAGGACUUGAGGAUGAGUUUAGGGGUGUUAUAUGGUCGAGCUCUCUGGAAAACCAAAGUAAGAGACGAGACAGAGAGGUAAACAUCCUUUUUCUAAAAGUCAAAAAGGUGCCACGUGUCACUCUCUCAUUGGCCUUUUUUAAUUCAAAUGCUUAUAUCUUUUUAUCCGGAUGUCGUAUAAACAAACGGUUAAGAGCGUUGGAAACUAUAUUACAAGACCUUCAAUUUGGUAUGUAAUAUGUCCCAAAAAGAUCUCAUAUAGCACACGAAAUAUAUUACUAAAAAAAACUUUAUUACAAGGCAAAUCCUUAGUCGGUUUUUCCGCAACUUAAAUCCGAUUUUUCUCNNNNNNNNNNNNNNNNNNNNNNNNNACUUCGGCUAAACCUUUCUUGUCCUUGUAGAAGGAUUUCAUCCUUUUUGAGUUUACAUUAGAUAAUCCUAUAAUGAUAGUAAUAUCUGAAGUACGGGGUGUAACAACAUGUACCCUUAUAAAUAUUUAUCCUUGAAUAUUAACUCUCAAAGGCUUGAAAAAAAAGGGAUGUAACACCAUUAAAUUACUUUAUAUACUUUCCAAGAGGAUCUCAUUUUCGAGCUUACAUCAACGGACUUACGACGUACUUUCACAUAUAAAAAUAUGGGUUGUAACAAGAUCCUUGUCUGAAUGUCAUCAAAAUAAGGGCUUCAUCCCAUUUAAUUAAAAGUGUCUGAAUGUCAUCAAAAUAACCUAGGACCCCUGUUUCAUCUUCUCUUUCACCCUUACCUCUCACCAUCGUCCGCUGCCCACCGAAAAUCGCCAACGGUGGCGGUUGAUCUCCAAAACCCCUAAAAUGUUGACCAUAUAACCACCGUUGCACCUCCAUUCCAAAUCCACCCUUGUUUCCUCUCCCAAACCACUCAUUCUCUCCAAAUCGGAGAACGAAGUUAGCACUGAAAUCCCCUUCAUCCCUUUUCUUCUGAUUUCCACCUAAUCUAGCUUCCUCUUGGUGUUAGACAUAUGUGAAUCGACCAGCUUCAAGUGAAAACGCCAAUUGGCUGAGGGUUCAUUUUAUGCAUGGUAGCCGAGUUUGGUCAACAAUCUCCGAUGGGCCAUUAUUUCUGUUUCUUCUUCAUUUUUGACUCGUGAUGAGGACUAUGACAAAGAGCACAAGCCAUUGAAGAAAUUUCGGCUAGUGUUCAAUGUUACAGUUCACACCAUGGGGUUGAGGUUCUUCACGCCGUAUGCCAUCACCUGUGAGCCAUCGAUCUACCCGGUAUCCUUUUAUUACUCUUCAUCUCAGUUGGGUUUAGAAAUCAUAGUUUUUUCAGUCAUUUAAUUCGGUAAUAAUAAUAGGUUAAGAUGCAAUUAAACUCUUUGUUAGCACUUGUUAAUUUUCCUUUUUCCUUUUACUUCUUCUCUUUUACUCUGCUUCAUUAGAAGAUCUCAUAUCAGUAGGAUUCAGAAUUGGGUUAGUUUGGAAUUUCUUGUGAAUUCAUUUGCUUAGACUUGGAUUUGGGUUUGCUAGUGCAAGAAGCCCAAAGAGCUUGUUGAAGUUCACUAAUGCAGAAGCCCAAGGGCAUUAGGGGCAGUCUGUUUCAAACAUGUGGUUUGUUUAAAGUAAUUAUCGGGCCUUUGAGCGGUAGUUUAGGAAAAUUGGAUAGGAAGAAUCUUGGCUAACUAACUAGGAAGUUUCCAGGAAGGUGGGGAUUGGGUAGUUCAGCAAAUAGGUUUAAAAUUCAGGGUUUAAAUUGAACAAAAGGGGAAUUGAUGAGGGUUAAUUUUGAAUGAAUAGAAUCAGGUGCUGCUGCCCUAAGACCUUACUAUAUAAGGCCUGUUUCAUUCAUUUUCUGGCAGAGAUUACAAGACCCAAACAAUAGUAAACGGCUGAAAAAUCUUUCUUCAGAAGAAUACAGAUCUGAAGUACUAUUAUCUACAUCAAAAUUCUGAAAAAAUAUACAUGCUGACAAAAAUUUUCAGAGCUGAAAAAGACUGAAAAAAUUGGUUCAAAAAUAUUGUUUUAUUGAGUAGCUGGUUCAUCAUUCCUCUGGUUUUCUUUGCUUCAAUACCUGGUUGAUUUUGGGUUCUAAAACAUGGAUUAAAAUGAUUGUCUUGAUGCUGGUUACUGCUAUUAAAUCAUGCUGAUUUCACUCUCAUUUUGCUAAAGUUUUCUUGUUAUUUUUCUGGCUGUAUCCAGGUAUAUUCACAAUCUUUGAAAUGACAAAGUUAAAGUGUAACAUUGUUUCAGGGAAAAUAGACUACUCAGAUCCUAUUUUCCUUUUAUUUAGUAUUUAAUAUGUUGAUUGGUUUGGUUGUUACUGAUUCUUUAACUAUAGUUAAGUAUUAGUAUUUGUACUCUACUCUUUAGUAAGCUCUGAAGUUCACAAGUUUGGGUUUCAAGUUUGUAUAAACAUUCUAGUUGUAAUUUUGGGGACUGUAUUAAACUAUGGCUUGUGAGGUUGCCAUAUUAGUUUAGGCCAUUGAACAUUUUCAGCAUGCUUGCUAUAAUUUUGUAGAUAUUCAUGUUUAGGUAGUUAAAAUUAGACAAAUGAAAUCCUUAUUAGUAAACCAUAUGUCUUUUUGAAAUCAUGUUGAUGUUUAGUUAAAGCUAUGAAUUCUAUUAUGUUCAACAGUAAAAUAAUUAGGGAUAGGCUGUUAUAACGUUAAGUGUUGUGUUUUUCAGAAUGGUAUCAUGAUUUGGCCUAACAAGGCAAGGGGACUGUUGAGUUCGAAUGUGGCCUAAUAUGGGUCAAAAUCGAGAUGGCCCAGUCACGAUGUAAGCUGGGGCAUUUCGCCUUAGCUUAGUUAUUUUGUUGCCCUUUUUAAUGCACUGUUUAGUCCCCAAAGGUUCAUGUAGCGAAUUGGCUCCUAUCAAUUAGGACCAUUUGUAUAGCUGAGCUGCGUGAUUGGCCUAGUUCAGCCCAAGGCCAAUUGUUGGUUCACUUUCAAUUCUGGGUUUUAUUUCGAGCCCAAUUUCCCCCUCAGGCCUCUGAGCGUUUAUGGGUUUAUUGCAGGCUUGAAACCUGACCCAAAUGUUUAAUUAUUUGAGUAUACUACCCCAUGUAAGUUUGUUGCAUAGCUUUAUGUUGAAUUUUAAUUUAGAUGAGAAUCUGAACAUCUUUAGAUAGCUUUAAUUAAGUAUGAUGUCAUAAGGAGAUGUAUUGAGGUGUGCCAUUUUAAUGGAAUCACUUAUGGCCCUCAUAUUAAUCUUACAAUUUAGAUAUUAAAAAAUGAAUCUCGUAGUUUGCUUUAGGCCUGUAAUUAUAUUAUUACAACUAUGGGUACGGUUCCCGUGACGUGGUUGUGAUACUUAGUUUUUUUAAAAAUUAGAUAUAAGUAGGAGUAUUUUUGGUUUGCCUUAGCUAAAUACAAUCCUUUUCUUAAAAUAAAUUGAGGUGCGCCAUACGCAAAUAAAAUCCAUAAUGUAUGACCCUUACAUAAAUACAAAAUUAGUAUAAAAAAUGCCUUGAACUUUCGUAGUUUGCUUUAGGUGUGUUAAUUAAAUAGUUGUCAUAGCUACGGGUACAGUUCUCGUGACGUGGUCAUGAAACUUAAUUUCUAAAAAGGCCGGGGGUACAUUUAUAUGACCCGACCACUAUUUAAUUUUGUUAAUUAAAAUAAACAUGCUGUGGAUCGUGGGUACGGUUCCCGUGACAUGAUUUGCAAUGUGUAAUCAAUAACUAGUUGUAUAAUAAUUGGAUUAUUAAAAGCAGUUUGAAAGGAAUAAAUGCAUAUAGGUUUCAAAGUUGUUUUAAAAUCAAAUAAAUAGGCCAAUAAUAAUAGUUAAGCGACCGUGCUAAAAUCACGAAACUCGAGAAUGCCUAACACCUUCUUCCGGGUUAACAGAAUUCCUUACCCGGAUCUCUGUAUUCGCGGACUGUAAAAUAGAGUCAAUUUUUCCUCGAUUCGUAAUUUGAACCGGUGACUUGGGACACCAUAAAUUAUCCCAAGUGGCGACUCUGAAUAAACAAAAUAAUCUCGUUUUGAUUGUCACUUAAAUUGAAAAAAAACUCCCUUAUACCCUUAUGGGUGUAGGAAAAAGGAGGUGUGACAGCUCUGGCAACUCUGCUGGGGAUUGAACCCAGAAUCUCUAGUUUAGGGUUCAGAAUUCGAGCUUAGAAUAAUUGUUAUAAUUGGAUUUGUUUAUUAUCUGGUUUUAUUACAUGUUUAGGCCUAAUGUGCUAAAUGCUGUUUUUUACCGCUUAAAUACUAUUUGAACUGUAUAUAAACUGCUAUGAAACCCUUCUCUUCUCAUCUUCGGGGAUGUGCACACAUGCCUAACUCCUCUUCUGUUAGUGUCAUAUCUUAAAUUAGGAAGAGGCUUGGACAAGUUACAAAGCCAGAGGGUCUUUUGGUUCCCGGUACGUAACCCCCCCUCGGCUCGAGUUGUCCGCUCGGGUACACAAGUCUAGAACAACAUACCUAGGUUUUGAACUUAGAAUAACUCAGCCUCAUACUGGAUCCCUAGUAGGAAUUCUUGUUUGCAUCAUAUGCAUUUGACUUUGGGGACUCAACAAAGGGGUUGGGUCCGUCUAGGACAGGCGUACCUGAAAAUAAAAGACCAACCUGAUGCAUCUUUAUGUGCUACUUGUGCAUUUAAUUUGUUUCGAACUGCAUGUUGGCCUCUAGAUUAAGUGAGGAAAACCAAAAAAUAUAUAUAUAAAAAAGAGAGACCAAGGGUAGAGUAUGAGAGAGAAUUUCAUCCGUUGCCCAAAAUUCGGUACCCAAAACAUCCCGAAACUCUGCCGAAAAUUUUUGAAAACGAGGGAAAAAGAGUAGAAAAAUCAUUUCAAAGUGUUUUUCAGUUGUAUCAAAACUGGCCGAACUAUGCAGGUUUGAUUCUCACCGGAUAUGGGAUACGUAGGCAACCCUAAUCGGGUCCAGCCCCUCUUUUUGAAAAAUUUUGAAAAAAAAUAUAUGAGGCGUCGUCAUUUUGUCGUAAGUAAAGUGGGUUAUGCCGUUCUUGUCUAAAUAGUCGAAUGUCCCGACAGGACGCCGUGGCUGUUUUUGCAAGAAUAGCCGCUGAUUGUGUUUUUGCCAAAUUUUGGCCACUUAGCGAGCACAACCCUAAAAACUUCCAUUUCACAGUGUUGAAGGGCCAUAUUAGCAAAAGUAGCCCUAAUUUCUUGAUUUUGCAAAAAUAACCCCUUUUGUCAGUGUUUCAAAUGAGAUUCACUUUGUGUCUAAACCAAUCACCAUAAUCUAAAUGUGCAGAAUGAGCACGAGUCAAAACUUGCCAAUGAAGGUCAUGACCAAGAUUCCUUUGUAACAGUACAUGUGGUGGGAAGAUCUGGGAAAAUCAGGACGAGAUGUGGUCAACCAGUACUUGGGGGGUCUCACCGGGUUAUUGAAGAUCAGGCCUAGAGGAGACAUAAUAAAAGCAUUGGUUACAUUUUGGGAUUCAGCCCACAACGUGUUUCAUUUCUCGGACUUUGAACUCACACCCACUUUAGAAGAGAUAGUCGGUUAUGUUGGGAGUACCGAAGCUUUGAGACAUAAAUAUCUGGUUGCCCUGAGAGCCGUCACCCCUCACAAGUUUCUUGAUUUGCUAAAAAUAAGCAGGGGGUCCAAUAUGUAGAUUUGGCGGUUGGGUUUUCUACUCCACAAUUCAUAUAUCAGCAGUACAGACACAUAGGGGGAUUCGAAAACCCGAAAAGCAAAAUUUACAGCAAAGGGAAUCGACUAAAAUAAGAAGAGCAUAGAUGCUUCGCCUUCAUGGUAGUAUUUUUGGGUCUUUUAAUAUUUCCCAGGAAGAACGGAAAUAUCGAUGUAUGGGUAGCCAGGGUCGGUAACACUUUGCUUACCCAAGCCAAAAGCACUCUCGCACCCAUGAUAGUGUCUGAAAUAUUUCGAGCUCUCACAGCCUGCAAAACCAGAGUAGACUUUUUCAAAGGGUGCAACCUGUUACUACAAAUGUGGAUGACUGAGCGUCUAUGUCCUCGUCCUCAAUACAUGAACCAUGGGUCAAUGGGGGAAAGUUGCAUAGAGGAGUUUUAUACAAGGGUUGACGGGUUCAACAUGCCAUAAGGGGUCGUAGAAUGGAUAUCUUUCCUCCGCUCCGUCACUGCAAAUCAAAUAGAAUGGAAGUUGGGUUGGCUUCCUGUUGAUGAAAUCGUAUACAUGCCUGCCAUCGGUCCUCACUUCCUCUUGAUGGGUCUCAGAAGUGUAUAGCCUUAUGCCCCGUACUGGGUUUUGAGACAGCUGGGGAGAUGUCAAGUAGUUCCAAAGGACGAAGACCUUAGCAUUCAGGUAGUCUAGAUCGGUUCUGAUGGUCAGUUUUAUGAGGCGGCAGUUCGCCAGAUCUGGAGUGAGUGUCAGUACUUGGCAGCAGACACCCAAGUGUUUGAUCUAUCCAAAGGUGAAGUCUUGCCCGAUUACCUCUCCUGGUACAAAAGAAGUGUUGAGUUUGGAAGACCAGCCAAAAGACCCCAUCUUCAAGAAUUUGUCGAGGCAUCACAGGAACAAUGGGAUUGGUUGGUCAAAGAAAAUGAGUAUAAGACCACCAUAAGAAAGCUGGAAAAGCAAGUUAGAGAUCUUCAAUUUGAGAAUGGUUUGCAAGCCGCUGCAGAUGAGGGUGAAAAGAAAAAUCUAACCAAAGAAAAUGACGCCCUCCGAGCCCAAAUUCAGGCAAUGAAAAUAGCAGCCAAAAACCCCGCUAGAAGUGCAAAAGAUAAAAAGCUUAUAAGUAACCUUAGGCAGAAAGUAAGUGGAUAUGGUUUUGAUCUGAACAAGGCCGAGGGCAAACUGGCAAAGGCUCGGACAAAAUUGGCUAAGAAUAUGGAAGAACGAGCACGCUUGGUUCAACAGGUAAAAGAGAAAUAUGACAAUGGAGUCGUGGGGUUGAAGAAAAAUAUCACUGUCUUUGAGAACAAAAUGACCAAGCAGGCAAAAGAUUUCAAAGCAGAAAGGGAACACUGCUAUGCCCUGAUGUCAUAGCUAGAAAAAGACCUAAAAUAGCUUCAAGAGAAGAAUCAUACAGUUGAACAAGUUUUGGAUGCCAGAUCUCAGCAGAUCGGACGAUUGCUACAGGAUAAAGGUAUUAUCAGGGAAAGAGUUAAGAGAAUUGCGGGCUACAUUGUGAUGAAAUGCAACGAGUAUGAAGACAUGACCAGAUCCAUGUUCUUCGCUUCAGUUAUGAUUUUGUCCGACAGAUCAUGGAUGACUUGUUUCGCCUCCAAGAAGAUAUGGCGCAAAGGCCUGCAACAAGGCCAACUAGAGCAGCGGUUGAGGCACUUAUGUAUUCUUGACUUUGUUUGUUCGAGUCUGUAUUGUCAGUUUGUUAGUUCAUUUUCGAGUCUGUAUUUUCAAAUUUUCUUUUGAAAUUGUUGGUCCAAUCAUUGAGUUUGUCAGUCUUUAUGUUUAACUCUGUAGGGGAAGUUGUCGUAAUCACGGUGUUUUAUUUUAUUUUAUGAAAAUUUGAAAACCCAAAAAAAUGUAUCUUUCUUUUAUUUUAUGCUUAUCUCCCUGAACUACGCUUGGUCUGAUUCAUGCGAUGUCAUGAUACGUAGGCAAUCCCCAUAAGAUUCGAUCAUAACCGUAAAAUGAAAAGAAAAGAGAGAGAAGAAAAACAAGAAAAAUUGUGGGAAGGAAACAAUGGCAAAACAAGAGAGGGGAAAAAAUGAGAGAAUAAAGGCAAGUAUCAAGCAAAGAAAAGCAGGAAUGAAAAAAAAAAGAGAAAGAAAUUGUAAAAAUGGAAAUUAGUGAAAGCUGGUAUGACGCAAGCAGCCGUUCAAAUGCAUAAUAGAAAUGGUUAACUUCUUAGGUGCAUUACAUCCCAACGUGCGGUUGCCUAUCUGUUAAAGCUCUAAUCGCUAACGAGGUUGCUUGUUGUCAUCAAAUCCAGGCAGGUGGUUAGUUUGUUUGGCAUUCUGGCAAUUCACUCGUACAACAUUAGGCCAAAGACAAGUUGAUCAUGGCUGGAAAAGAACUAGAUGCAUGUGUUAUUGAUCCGUUAAGGGAAGGGGAAGAGUCCGAUGUUAAUCUGAAAGAGGAGUUACAUAAGUUGAAACACCAGAUGGCAGAGAUGUACCAGGUAUGGGUGAAAGGGCAUCCACCACCAUCAUACCCCGCCAACCCUGCUUUUGUCCUACCGCUGGCUCAAUCCCAAGAACCUCCCACUGUUGAUUCAUAUCCAGGCUUCCCCAUUUACAACCACUACCAAGGAACCACUUCCCAAACCCCACAAGCACCACCACCCAAACCAAUCCCAUACCCUCCUCCACCCGCCACCCCUAUUUUUGUGGCACCCCCACCUACUACACUCCAUCAAUCCUCUAGUAAGCCCUUAUUCCAGACCCAGGAUAACCAGUACUAUCCCCCGGAGCCUACUCUCAAGGCCCCAGAACAUUACUCCUACACUUCUCGUUUCGACCUCCCAGUUGAGACUGAGAAACCACCUAAAAACCUAGAACAGGAGGAAAAGUUUAGGAAGGUUAGAAGCCUGGAACAGUCAUUCAGAAACAUGCAGGGAUUGGGAGGCUAGGUGAGUGUAGCCUACAAGGUUUUAUGUCUAUUUCUCGAUGUUCAGUUGUCGGUGGGGUUUAAGAUGCCAAAGUUUGAUUUGUAUGACGAGAACGGAGACCCGGUGGCCCAUUUGAGGGGAUUUUGCAUUAAAAUGAGAGGAGCCGGUGGGAAAGAUGAACCAUGAUGGCAUACUUUAGCCAGAGCCUGAUUGGAGCGGCACUGGAGUGGUACACUCGUCAGGAUCAUAGCAGAUGGUAUACCUGGGAUGAUUUGGCCCAAGUAUUCGCUCGUUAUUUCCAAUACAACAUCACGAUUGUUCUUGAUCAUUUGUCUUUGACUAAGAUUGAGAAGAAGCCAAGUGAAAGUUUCAGAGAAUAUGGUUUUCGCUGGAGAUAACAAGCGGCAAGAGUUAACCCCCCCGAUGGAGGAGAGCGAAAUGGUGGAGUACUUUCUAUAGGCUCUGGAGCCUACCUAUUUUGGCCAUCUGAUAUCGGCCAUAGGCAAGUCUUUCAACGAGGUAGUGAAGAUGAGUUACAUGGUGGAAGAAGGGCUUAAAUCAAGCAAAAUCAUGAGUUACUCGGCCAUCAAGGCAACUACCCAAGCCAUUCAGAAUGGUACUGGGGAGUGAUUGGAAAGAAGAAGAAAGAAGAUGUGGCAACAGUUGAUUCAGGAUCAUGGUUUGGACCCAGAGUCCCGUCACACCAUUAUACCUAGCCUCGCCCCCUCACCGAACCUACACCCAAACCCCAUAUAACCCACCCCAACACUACUUCCCAUCACUAGACCCUCAUAUUUUUGUCCACCACGCCCAGACAUAUAUUCAACCCCCUGCUAACUCAUAAUGGCGUGAUCUAGCCCCACAAAACACCUAUCCAGCUCCACAAAAUGCUUACCCACCCCCACGAGCCUACCGACACCCUGCCGGCCCAGGUUUCCAACCCAAUCCAGCGUUCAAAAAUGAGAGGUUGCAGUGAAAGAAAACUUUUACCCCGUUGGGGGAGUCUUAUACCAGUUCAUUCCAUAGAUUGGGGCAGUUAGAUAUGUUGAGGCCAAUUGAGUCGAAAUUGCCAAACCCUCAUCCAAAGAAUCUUGAUUACUCCGUGAGCUGUGAAUAUUGUUCUGGUACUCUGGGACAUGAUACAAAGAAGUGCUGGCACUUGAAAAAUGCCAUCCAGGAGCUCAUCGACACCAGCCAGAUUAAAGUCCAAACUCCAGCGGCACCUAACAUCAACCAGAAUCCAUUGCCAACACAUGAGGGAACAGACAUGAUCGAGAUAGUACACAAGGGAAAGGAGCCCAAGAAACCUUCACAGUCCUUCAUGAUGAUUCGGUGCAGUGAGGUCAAGCUAGUCAAAAAACCAACAAUUGAAGGAUCAGUAAACAAGUUAAGCAUGACAAACGGUGAGCCAUAUGUGGAAGCUAAGAAAAGAUCUCCAAGUGAUGUUGUAUCAAAGCAAGAAAAGUCAAAAGUAGUCAUCCAGAGUUGGGAAAUAAGCCUGUCAUAAUUGUAGAGGGUGCCCGUACGAAUCCUAUCAUCAUCAAGCCCGUAACCCAGUUGCCGGUAAUCAACAACAAGGCUAUCCUAUGGAACUAUGAACUGGUGAUAGUGACCUAUAAGGAAAAAGAAGUGAAAGAAGAAGUCAAUGAGACCCAUGGAUUAACUCAUUCAGGGAGAUGCUUUGCCCAGGAAGAGUUAAGGAAAGCUAAAACAUCCAGAGAUAAUCCAGUUCUGGUAAAGAAAGCAGUCACUGAAGAAGAGGCGGAGGAGUUCUUGAGGAAAAUGAAGGUAGAAGAUUACUCCAUCGUGGAGCAGUUGAGAAAGACGCUUGCUCAGAUUUCCUUGCUGUCAUUUUUAAUCCACUCAGAUGAGCAUCGUCGGGCCCUGAUGAAAAUUCUGAACGAAGCUCAUGUCCCUGACAAAAUUUCAGUGAACCAUCUGGAGAAAAUCGCCAACAAAAUAUUUGAGGUGAACAGGGUCACCUUCUCUAAUGACGAGUUGCCUGUGGAAGGUACUGAACAUAACAAAGCUCUCUAUCUUACGGUAAAAUAUAAAGAUUUUGUGGUCACCAUGGUGUUAGUCGACAAUGGUUCCAGUGCAAACAUUUGCCCUCUCUCUGCUCUGAACAAGUUCAAAGUUGAUGAUGAGAGGAUUCACAAGAACAACAUCUGCGUUCGAGUUUUUUAUGGUGGAGGGAAAGACUCAGUUGGUGAUAUAGUGCUUGAAUUGACAAUAUGACCGGUGGAAUUAACCAUGGAGUUCCAGGUACUGGACGUAGCCGUCUCUUACAAUUUGUUGUUAGGUCGACUUUGGAUUCAUGCUGCCAAAGCAAUCCCGUCCACUCUGCAUCAGAUGGUCAAGUUCGAAUGGGAUAGACAGGAGAUCGUCGUGCAUGGUGAGGAUAGUUUAUGUGCUCACAGUGAUGCCUCUAUCCCAUUCAUUGAGGCUGAAGAUGACAAAGGGCCUUGGGUCUAUCAAGUGUUUGAAACAGUGCCGGUCGAGAAAGUUCCAUAAGGGAAAUGUGUUCUAACUUCAAAGAUAGCCUCUGCAUCCGUCAUGGUGGCCUCUGAAAUGUUGAAAAAUGGCUUUGUGCUAGGUAAAGGUCUGGGUGCGUCCUUGCAGGUAUCAUACAGCCAGCGCCCCUCCCUGAAAACUUGGGCACGUUUGAUCUUGGAUUUAAACCUACAACGACAGAUGUGAAAAGGGAUAAAAGGUUGAAACAGAAGGCGUGGGCACUUCUAAGCCUAUUCCGCGUCUCUCCGGGUCUUUUGUCAAGCCCGGUGCCAGGAAACGCCCAGUGACGACAGUUCCAAGUUUUGUGGUUGACAUUGAUGAGGAGUUAAUUGAAAGGUUCCAGAGGUUGUUUGAUGAUGUAAAUAUGGUAGAAGUUAGAGAAGGUUCUAGCAAAGCGGACGUGCAGUUCGUCGGGCCGAAUGUAAAUCUUAAGAAUUGAAAGGCUACUCCUCUCCCUACUCGGAAGGAGUCUUGGUAGUUUGUUUUGUUUUCCUUUCUAUCUAGGUCAUUCCAAGGUUGUGACCCAGACUUUUAUUUUUCCUCUUGUUGAUGUACAAACACUAUUAUCCUUUAUUUUUCAAUGAAAUGCAAUUUUCCUUUUCCAUCAUUCCUGAUAGUUUCAUUUUUUGUUUUCUUUUCUUCUCUGUACAGUUCUUUUUAUGCUGGUUUCAAUGAUAUGACAUGCAUGAGGAAUCUUCGGCCCAAUCUUAAAAGUCAAUCUAAUUCUGAAAUAAUAAUCCUAGAAAUAGAGUGUGAUGAUGAAUCAAAAUAUGAUGAGGAUGAGGCAUUUGAAGAGAUUAGUAAGGAACUAAGUUAUUUUGAAGAAAAACCCAAGCCUAAUCUAAAGGAAAUGGAAGCAAUCAAUCUAGGGGAUCCGGAUAAUGUCAGAGAAACUAAGAUAAGUGUCCAUCUUGAACCGCAAAUCAGGGAAGAAAUAAUUAAAGCAUUGUUCGAGUAUAAGGAUAUUUUUGCAUGGUCGUAUGAUGACAUGCCGGACUUGAGUACCGAUUUAGUGGGCCACAAAUUGCCAAUUGAUCCAGCAUUCCCUCCCGUUAAGUAGAAGUUGAGAAAGUUCAAAACUGACAUGAGUGUGAAGAUUAAAGAAUAAGUCACAAAGCAGCUUGGUGCAAAAGUCAUUCGAGUCACGCGGUAUCCCACGUGGCUAACCAACAUUGUUCCUGUGCCAAAGAAAAAUGGUAAGACUAGAGUGUGUGUUGAUUUCCGUGAUCUCAAUAAGGCAAGUCCAAAGGACAACUUCCUAUUGCCAAAUAUCCACAUUUUGAUUGAUAAUUGUGCCAAGCAUGAGAUUGGGUCCUUUUUGGAUUGCUAUGCGGGGUAUCAUUAGAUUUUAAUGGAUGAGGAAGAUGCGGAAAAGACGACAUUCAUCAUGCCAUGGGGAACAUACUGCUAUCGGAUCAUGCCUUUUGGUUUGAAAAAUGCUGGGGCAACAUACAUAAGGGCAAUGACAACCAUAUUCCAUGAAAUGAUACAUAAGGAGAUUGAGGUUUACGUGGAUGAUGUGAUCAUAAAGUCCAGGAAGCAGUCUAACCACGUCAGAGAUUUGAGAAAGUUUUUCCAAAGGCUCCGUAGGUACAAUCUUAAGGUCAACCCUGCAAAGUGUGCGUUUGGUGUUCCAUCGGGAAAGCUGUUGGGGUUCAUAGUCAAUCGGCGGGGCAUUGAGUUGGAUCCAUCAAAGAUCAAAGCUAUCCAAGAGUUACCACCACCAAAGAACAAGACCGAGGUGAUGAGUCUGCUAGGGAGGCUGAACUACGUCAGCAGGUUUAUUGCUCAGCUCACGACAACUUGUGAACCCAUCUUUAAGCUGCUGAAGAAGGAUGAUGUGGUCAAAUAGACUGAUGAGUGCCAUGAAGUAUUCGAUAAGAUCAAGAAGUACUUGUCGAAUCCACCUGUGUUGGUCCCGCCGGAGCCCGGAAGACCUUUAAUUCUUUAUUUAACCGUCCAGGAUAACUCAUUUGGUUGUGUGUUGGGUCAGCAUGACAUCAUUGGCAGGAAAGAGCAAGCCAUCUAUUAUCUCAGCAAGAAGUUCACUUUUUAUGAGGUUAAGUAUACUCCUCUUGAAAGGACAUGUUGCGCCCUGACUUGGGUAUCACAGAGUCGUGGGAGGCAAGGNNNNNNNNNNNNNNNNNNNNNNNNNNNNNNNNNACUUACCUUAUCUCUCGCCUAGAUCCUUUGAAGUAUAUCUUUCAGAAGCCCAUGCCCACAGGAAGGCUCGCAAAGUGGCAGAUCUUGCUCACAGAAUUUGACAUCGUAUAUGUGACUCGGACAGCGAUGAAAGCCCAAGCUUUAGCCGAUCACCUGGCCGAAAACCGGUGGAUGAAGAAUAUGAACCUUUGACGACUUACUUCCCUGAUGAAGAGGUAAUGCAUAUCGACGAGGUCGAGAAGGAUGAAAAACCCGGUUGGAAACCUUUCUUUGAUGGGGCUGCAAACAUGAAAUGUGUCGGGAUAGGGGUGGUGCUUAUUUCUGAAAUAGGGCAUCACUACCCUGUUACGGCCCAACUACGUUUCUACUGUACCAACAACAUGGCUGAGUACGAGGCAUACAUUCUGGGCUAAGGCUAGCUGUAGACAUGGGAAUCCAAGAAGUUUUGGUCUUGGGAGACUCAGACCUUCUGGUGAACUAGAUUCAAGGAGAAUCGGAGACACGAGAUUUAAAGCUUAUACCGCAUCAACAAUGUUUGCAUGAUCUUUGUCAACGGUUCAGAUCAAUGGAGUUCAGGCAUAUCCCUAGGAUCCACAAUGAGGUUGUUGACACUUUGGCUACUCUGGCGUCGAUGUUGCAUCAUCCAGAUAAGGCUUAUGUUGACCCUUUGCAUAUUUAGGUCCAUGAUCAGCAUGAUUACUAUAACAUGGUGGAAGAAGAACUUGACGGUGAACCUUGGUACCACGAUAUCAAGGAGUACAUCAGGGCGGGGGUAUAUCCGAUACAAGCCACAGGGAUCAAAAGAGAACAAUUUGACGUUUGGCAAGUGGAUUUUUCUUUAGUAGAGGAGUUUUGUACAAAAGAACUCCAAAUCUUGGAUUGUUAAGAUGCCUAGAUGCUAGACAAGCCACGACUAUCAUAACCAAAGUGCAUUUCGGAGUCUGCGGGCCGUAUAUGAGUGGGUAUGUUCUGGCAAAGAAGAUUCUUCAAGCUGGUUAUUAUUGGCUUACCAUAGAACGAGAUUGUAUCAGUUUUGUGCGCAAAUGUCAUCAAUUCCAAAUACACGGAGAUUUGAUUCAUUCUCCGCCAUCUGAAUUACACACAAUGUCCGCACCAUGACCCUUUGUUGCUUGGAGUAUGGAUGUUAUCGGACCAAUUGAGCCAGCAGCAUCCAAUGGGCAUAUGUUCAUUCUGGUGGCCAUUGACUAUUUCACUAAGUGGGUUCAGGCUAAAACUUUAAAAUCUGUGACCAAGAAGGCAGUGGUCGAUUUUGUUCAUUCAAAUAUCAUUUGUUGGUUUGGAAUCCCAAAGGUGAUCAUCACAGAUAAUGAUGCUAAUCUUAAUAGUCAUCUGAUGAAGGAAGUGUGUCAACAGUUUAAGAUUACACAUCGAAAUUCCACCCCAUACUGCCCCUAGGCAAACGGAGCAGUUGAGGCAGCCAACAAGAACAUAAAGAAGAUACUUCGGAAAAUGGUGCAAGGUUCCAGGCAAUGACAUGAGAAGUUGUCCUUUGCAUUGUUGGGUUAUCGCACUACUGUUCGCACUUCAGUAGGUGCAACUCCUUAUAUUUUUGUUGUAUAUGGCACUGAAGCAGUGAUACCCGCGGAAGUUGAAAUUUCAUCCCUUCGAAUUGUUGCUGAAGCCGAAAUUGAUGAUGACGAGUGGGUCAAAACCCAUUUGGAGCAAUUGAGUUUGAUUGAUGAGAAGAGAUUGGCAGUAGUAUGUCAUGACCAGUUGUAUCAAAAGAGAAUGGCGGGAGCAUAUAACAAGAAUAUGCUUCCGCGGGAGUUUGAAGUGGGUCAGCAAGUAUUGAAACUCAUCCUUCCACAUCAGGCCGAAGCAAAAGGCAAGUUUGCCACAAAUUGCAGGGGCCUUUCAUCGUAACGAGAGUGUUAUCCAAUGGUACUUUAUAUUUAAUAGAUAUAGAAGGCAAAUGUAUAGAUAUAGCUAUCAAUUUCGAUGCAGUCAAAAUAUAUUAUGUCUGAUUUCUCCGGUUUGUCUAAAUUAUUGUUUGUACUUGGCAUAUUUUGAAGAUUGGAAUGACGAAGACAUUUUGUUCUGCUACCUAAACACUUUAUCUUGUGAUUACCCCUUUUGAACCUUAUUUAUUUCCUUUCACACCCCUCAUUUGGAAUCAGUAGCAAAAUUCAGAAACACGAACGCAAAAGGUAAGUAAAGAAGAAAGGAAAAAAAAGAAAAGAAUGAAAAAGAGUAAGAAAAAAGAAGAAGAGAAACAAAAAGAGAAAAAAAAGAGAAAGAAAAAGAAAAAAGGAAAGUAGCAACAAUAAAGCAAUUCCUAUGUCAUGAAUUAUGUUCGACCUGAUUCCUUUUAAGGAUGUAUAGGUAGCCUCACGGUUCGGUCCCAUCAAAAUAAAAAUUCAAAAGUCCCCAAGCAAAGAAACUAGGGCAGAAAUGUGGUUGGCGUAAAAGAUCUGAUUCCAAAAGUUAUAAUUUUGAACCCAUUCAAGUUGUUUCGAGCCUUCGUGAUACCCUUUCUUUCUAACCCUAUCCAAAAGUCCACAUUACGGUCCAAAGAAAAGCCUUCCGACUAGUUUUCGAGAGAUGCCAAGUCGAGCAAGUAGAGGUGAUUCAUAUCAGGAGCAACACUUCGUUCUGAGCAAGAAAAUAAAAAAUGAGAGAGUCUUAUUGGUGAAAACCCUCACGGGCACCGUAAGGCGAUGGAAAACUGAGAGAAAUUCAAAAAAUGAGAGAGUCUUAUUGGUGAAAACCCUCAUGGGCACCAUAAGGCGAAUGUGAGUUUAGAGAUGAACAAAUGAGAGAGGUUUAUUGGUGAAAACCCUUUAGGGCACCGCAGGCCGAACAAGGUCAGUGAUUUGGCGAAGACAUUGGGUUAUGGAGUUACUGGGGCAAAAAGUAUGACAACUGAAAGGUGAUUGGUUGAACGGGCUGGGCCGAUUAAUCCGAAAUGCAUCUCAUGAUCAUUGGCGCUAGCUGCCUCACUCAGAUAAGUUCCUUUUCAUUUUCUCCCUCAAAUAGUCAUCCUGUUUCAAGUUUCUCUUCUUUGUUUCUUUACCCUCGAAGUCAUUGCAUUUCAUUUCUUUUGGGAUUAUCUCUCUACGGCUUUUCCAAUGUCAGCCUAGUUUAAGAAAGUAAGAAAGGAUUUCAAAGCUUACUACCAAACUUCCAAAAUUGCACAACGCAAAGUGCGGCCAAGGCAUACCAGAAAUAGCAUGAUGCAAAAGUGAAAAUAAGGUGUUAGUGAAAGUUCAAGCGGUAUAGUGGUUUGUGAAUUUUGUGGAAGACACAAAGAUUCAAAUUGGAGGGACGGAAAUGUAAAACAGCGGGUUGGGUGCAGAGCAUUCGGGUCAUUCAGGGUCCUAUGGUUGUAAUUCAGUCAGAAAGGCAAACAAUUCUUGGCCAGUUCGGACGGCCAGUCAUAGCAAAGCACAGCAGCGAAAGGGCCACCUUCAGCAAGAAUGCCGCAAAGUAACCACCACAUUUUCAAGCCAAGAGAAAACAGGUUCAAGCAAUCAGGCCACCCACCUGAAGAGCAAGGAGAGAUAGUUCAAAAGAACAUGAGUUUCAAUAAUAGAAACUAGUUUAGGUUCAAGCAAUCAGGCCACCCACCUGAAGAGCAAGGAGAGAUAGUUCAAAAGAAAGACAGUUUCAAGAAUGGAAAGCAAUUCAGUUUCAGCAAUCAGGCAUCCACCUGGAGAAACAAGGGAAGACGGUUCAAAGAAAGGUAAUUUCAAGGAGAGAACAAUUAAGGUCCAACAACCAGGAGCCCACCUGGAGAAUAAGGGAGAACAAGACAGUUCCAAGGGAAAUUAGUCUCAAGAGAAAGCAGUUCAGGUUCAGCAAUCAGGCACCCACCUGGAGAAACAAGGGAAGAUGACACAAGUUACAAAGGGAACACAAUUCAAGUCUCGGUAAUCAGGCACCCACCUGGAGAACAAGGAGAAACAAUUCAAGUUUCAAGGGAAAAUCAGUGCAAGUGUUGGAAAUCAGGCACCCACCUGGAGAACAAAGAGAAGCAACAAUGUUCAAAGGAAGACAUUUCAAGUUCAGCAAUCAGGAGCUCACCUGGAGAACAAAGGAAAAUAGGUCAAGUUAGGAGGAAAAGUAGUUGAAGUUUUGGUAAUCAAGCGCUCACCUGGAGAGCAAGGGAAUACAAUUGAAGUUUUGGUAAUUAGGCGCCCACCUGGAAAGCAAGGGAAUACAGUUGAAGUUUUGGCAAUCAAGCACACACCUAGAGAAUAAGGAAAUCAGUUCAAGUUUCAAAGGAAGACAAUACAUGUUUCAAGGGAAAACAGUUAAGGUAACAAAGGGAACACAAUUCAAGUCUCGGUAAUCAGGCACCCGCAUGGAGAACAAGGGAAUACAGUUCAAAUGUUGGCAAUCAGAUACCGCCUGGAGAAUAAGGGAAUUUAUUUCAGAAUGCAAUUCAAGUCAGCGACAAAGGAAACUCACCUGGAGAGUACAAGUCAGUAGGGCAGUAGAAACUGCAAGAUCAAGUUGAAGAUAUAGAUAGGAUUAUUGUAAUUCAUAAAUCAUAGUUUAUUCUAGCUUCUUUUAUUUUGUUUUGGUGUAAUAAGGAGUUUAGUAAGCAGCAGCAACAACAACAACAGUGAAAUCACAGCUUCAUGGUAGUCUCAGCUACCGAAACNNNNNNNNNNNNNNNNNNNNNNNNNNNNNNNNNNNNNNNNNNNNNNNNNNNNNNNNNNNNNNNNNNNNNNNNNNNNNNNNNNNNNNNNNNNNNNNNNNNNNNNNNNNNNNNNNNNNNNNNNNNNNNNNNNNNNNNNNNNNNNNNNNNNNNNNNNNNNNNNNNNNNNNNNNNNNNNNNNNNNNNNNNNNNNNNNNNNNNNNNNNNNNNNNNNNNNNNNNNNNNNNNNNNNNNNNNNNNNNNNNNNNNNNNNNNNNNNNNNNNNNNNNNNNNNNNNNNNNNNNNNNNNNNNNNNNNNNNNNNNNNNNNNNNNNNNNNNNNNNNNNNNNNNNNNNNNNNNNNNNNNNNNNNNNNNNNNNNNNNNNNNNNNNNNNNNNNNNNNNNNNNNNNNNNNNNNNNNNNNNNNNNNNNNNNNNNNNNNNNNNNNNNNNNNNNNNNNNNNNNNNNNNNNNNNNNNNNNNNNNNNNNNNNNNNNNNNNNNNNNNNNNNNNNNNNNNNNNNNNNNNNNNNNNNNNNNNNNNNNNNNNNNNNNNNNNNNNNNNNNNNNNNNNNNNNNNNNNNNNNNNNNNNNNNNNNNNNNNNNNNNNNNNNNNNNNNNNNNNNNNNNNNNNNNNNNNNNNNNNNNNNNNNNNNNNNNNNNNNNNNNNNNNNNNNNNNNNNNNNNNNNNNNNNNNNNNNNNNNNNNNNNNNNNNNNNNNNNNNNNNNNNNNNNNNNNNNNNNNNNNNNNNNNNNNNNNNNNNNNNNNNNNNNNNNNNNNNNNNNNNNNNNNNNNNNNNNNNNNNNNNNNNNNNNNNNNNNNNNNNNNNNNNNNNNNNNNNNNNNNNNNNNNNNNNNNNNNNNNNNNNNNNNNNNNNNNNNNNNNNNNNNNNNNNNNNNNNNNNNNNNNNNNNNNNNNNNNNNNNNNNNNNNNNNNNNNNNNNNNNNNNNNNNNNNNNNNNNNNNNNNNNNNNNNNNNNNNNNNNNNNNNNNNNNNNNNNNNNNNNNNNNNNNNNNNNNNNNNNNNNNNNNNNNNNNNNNNNNNNNNNNNNNNNNNNNNNNNNNNNNNNNNNNNNNNNNNNNNNNNNNNNNNNNNNNNNNNNNNNNNNNNNNNNNNNNNNNNNNNNNNNNNNNNNNNNNNNNNNNNNNNNNNNNNNNNNNNNNNNNNNNNNNNNNNNNNNNNNNNNNNNNNNNNNNNNNNNNNNNNNNNNNNNNNNNNNNNNNNNNNNNNNNNNNNNNNNNNNNNNNNNNNNNNNNNNNNNNNNNNNNNNNNNNNNNNNNNNNNNNNNNNNCAACCUCGGAAGCAGGGUGCAGUCAAAUCUUUCAAAAAUGAUUCCCACGGAGUAUUCAAACGAGCAAAAAUCGCUCGUAUCCGCUCAUUUUAUCUUUGCACAAAAACUCUUCAUGUUUUCGAGCAAACAGGGGCAGCUGUGAGCACGUGACUUUUUCCCUAUAUGAAUUGCUCCUAUAAAAUUCAAGAGAAUAAAAUUUUUCCAUUAUUUGUAAUUUUAUAGGAUUUUUGUGAGAAUUCGUGUUAAUUGUUUGCAUUUCUGUGCAUGUUUAUUUUUGUUUAAAAAUCAUGAAAGUGGCAAAAAUACCAUGCAUUGCAUUUAGGAUUUAUUUUUAUAUUUUUAAGGUUAAUUAGUAAAUUAGUUGUUUUAUUAAAAAAUAAAAAUCACAAAAAUUGGUUUACUUUUGCAUUUUUAGCCUUUUAGUUUUAAAUUAGUAAUUUUCUCUUUUAAUUUAGGAUUAAUUAAUUCUUAUAAAUAUUAAGAAAAAAGAAAGAAUUGGAAAAGGGUCAAUUUGGUUUUUGGGAUUAGGCCAAAGUGUAGAAUCAGCCCAAAGUUUUCACCUAGUCCACCCCAUGCCCGGUCCAAACCUUUCAGGCUUUGAGACAACUAAAACGACGUAGUACUAAGUACAAACUACGUCGUUUUGAGUUAAAACCAUUCCAAGAAAUCCUGGCCCUUCAUUUUCUAUCAUCUAACGGCCAUAAGGGCUUCGUCCCAUUUAAUUAAAAGUGUCUGAAUGUCAUCAAAAUAACCUACGACCCCUGUUUCAUCUUCUCUUUCACCCUUACCUCUCACCACCGUCUGCCGCCCACCGAAAAUCGCCAGCGGCGGCGGUUGAUCUCCAAACCCCCUCAAAUCUUGACCAUAUAACCACCGUUGCACCUCCAUUCCAAAUCCACCCUUGUUUCCUUUACCAAACCACUCAUUAUCUCCAAAUCAGAGAUCGAAGUUAGCACUGAAAUCCCCUUCGUCCCUUUUCUUCUGAUUUCCACCCAAUAUAGCUUCUUCUUGGUGUUAGACAUAUGUGAAUCGACCAGUUUCGAGUGAAAAAGCCAAUUGGCUGAGUGUUUGUUUUAUGCAUGGUGGCCGAGUUUGGUCAACAAUCUCCGAUGGGCCAUUAUUUCUGUUUUUUCUUCAUUCUUGACUCAUGAUGGGGACUGUGACAAAGAGCACAAGCCAUUGAAAAAAUUUCGGCUAGUGCUCAAUGUUACAGUUCACACCAUGGGGUUGAGGUUCUUCACGCCGGAUGCCUGAGCCAUCGAUCUAGUUGGUAUCUUUCUAUUCCUCUUCAUCUCAGUUGGGUUUAGAAAUCAUAGGUUUUUCAGUCAUUUAAUUUGGUAAUAAUAAUAGGUUAAGAAGCAAUUAAACUCUUUGUUAGCACUUAUUAAUUUUCUUUUUUCCUUUUACUUCUUCUCUUUUACUCUGCUUCGUUAGAAGAUCUCAUAUCAGUAGGAUUCAGAAUUGGGUUAGUUUGGACUUUCUUGUGAAUUCGUUUGCUUAGACUUGGAUUUAGGUUUGCUAGUGAAAGAAGCCCAAAGAGCUUGUUGAAGUUCGCUAAUGCAGAAGCUCAAGGGCAUUUGGGGCAGUCUGUUUCAAACAUAUGGUUUGUUUAAAGUAAUUACCGGACCUUUGAGGAGUAGUUUAGGGAAAUUGGAUAGGAAGAAUCUUGGCUAACUAACUAGAAAAUUUCCAGGAAGGUGGGGAUUGGGUAGUUCAGCAAAUAGGUUUAAAGUUCAGGGUUUAAAUUGAACAAAAGGGGAAUUGAUGAGGGUUAAUUUUGAAUGAAUAGAAUCAGGUGUUGCUGCCCUAAGACCUUACUAUAUAAGGCUUGUUUCAUUCAUUUUCUGGCAGAGAUUACAAGACCCAAACAAUAGUAAACGGCUGAAAAAUCUUUCUUCAGAAGGAUACAGAUCUGAAGUACUAUUAUCUGCAUCAAAAUUCUGAAAAAACAUACAUGCUAACAAAAACUUUCAGAGCUGAAAAAGACUGAAAAAGGGGUUCAAAAAUACUGUUUUAUUGAGUAGUUGGUUCAUCAUUCCUCUGGUUUUCUUUGCUUCAGUACCUUGUUGAUCUUCGGUUCUAAAACAUGGAUUGAACUGAUUGUCUUGCUGCUGGUUACUGCUAUUAAAUCCUGCUAAUUUCAAUCUCAUUUUGCUAAAGUUUUCUUGUUGUUUUUCUGGUUGUAUCGAGGUAUAUUCACAAUCUUUGAAAUGGCAAAGUUGAAGUAUAACAUUGUUCCAGUGGAAAUAGACUACUCAGAUCCUAUUUUUCUUUUAUUUAGUAUUUAAUAUGCUGAUUGGUUUGGUAGUUAUUGAUUCUUUAACUAUGGUUAAGUAUUAGUAUUUGUACUCUACUCUUUAGUAAGAUCUGAAGUUCACAUGUUUGGGUUUCAAGUUUGUAUAAACAUUCUAGUUAUAAUUUUAGGGACUGUGUUAAACUAUGGCUUGUGAGGUUACCAUAUUAGUUUAGGCCAUUGGACAUUUUCAACAUGUUUGCUAUAAUUUUGUAGAUAUUCAUAUUAGACAAAUGAAUCCUUAUUAGUAAACCAUAUGUCUUUUUGAAAUCAUGUUUAUGUUUAGUUAAAGUUAUGAAAUCUAUUAUGUUCGACAGUAAAAUAAUUGGGGAUAGGCUAUUAUAACGUUAAGUGUUGUGUUUUUCAGAAUGGUAUCAUGAGUUGGCAUCAGAUUGUGCUAAAAUUAUGCAAGUGAUUUGGGCUGUCACAAGGCAAGGGGAUUGUUGAGUUCGAAUGUGGCCUAAUAUGGGCCCAAAUCGAGAUGACCCAGUCACGAUGUAAGAUGGGGCAUUUCGCCUUAGCUUAGUUAUUUCGUUGUCCUUUUUAAUGCACUGUUUAGUCCCCAGAGGUUCAUGUAGAGAAUUGGCUCCAAUUAAUUAGGACCAUUCGUAUAGCUGGGCUGCGUAAUUGGCCCAGUUCAGCCCCAAGGCCUUCUGCUGGUUCACUUUCAAUUCUGGGUUUCAUUUCGAGCCCAAUUUCCCCCUCAGGACCUCUGAGCAUUUCUGGGUUUAUUGCAAGCUUGAAACCUGACCCAAAUGUUUAAUUAUUUGAGUAUAUUACCCCAUGUAAGUUUGUUGCAUAGCUUUAGGUCGAAUUUUAAUUUAGAUGAGAAUCUGAACAUCUUUAGGUAGCUUUAAUUAAGUAUGAUGUCAUAAGGAGAUAUAUUGAGGUGUGCCAUUUUAAUGGAAUCACUUAUGAGCCUCAUAUUAAUCUUACAAUUUAGAUAUUAAAAAAUGAAUCUCGUAGUCUGCUUUAGGCACGUAAUUAAAUUAUUACAACUACGGGUACGGUUCCCGUGACGUGGUUGUGAUACUUAGUUUUUUGAAAAUUAGAUAUAAGUAGGAGCAUUUUUGGUUUGCCUUAGCUUAAUUUAAUCCUUUUCUUAAAAUAAAUUGAGGUGCGCCAUACGCAAAUAAAAUCCAUAACGUAUGACCCUCACAUAAAUACAAAAUUAGUAUAAAAAUGCCUUGAACUUUCGUAGUUUGCUUUAGGUGCGUUAAUUAAAUAGUUGUCAUAGCUACGGGUACGGUUCCCGUAACGUGGUUGUGACACUUAAUUUCUAAAAAUGUCAGGGGUACAUUUAUGUGACCCGGCCAUAAUUUAAUUUUGUUUAUUAAAAUAAACAUGUUGUGGAUCGUGGGUACGGUUCCCGUGACAUGAUUCACAAUGUGUAAUCAAUUACUAGUUGUAUAAUAAUUGGAUUAUUAAAAGCGGUUUAAAAGGAACAAAUGCAUAUAGGUUUCAAAGUUGUUUUAAAAUCAGAUAAAUAGGCUAAUAAUAAUAGUUGAGCGACCGUGCUAAAACCACGGAACCCGGGUAUGCCUAACACCUUCUCCCGGGUUAACAGAAUUCUUUACCCGGAUUUCUAUGUUCGCGGACUGUAAAAUAGAGUCAAUCUUUACUCAAUUCGGGAUUUGAACCGGUGAAUUGGCACACCAUAAAUUAUCCCAAGUGGCGACUCUGAACAAACAAAAUAAUCCCGUUUCGAUUGUCACUUAAAUUGGAAAAAACUCCCUUAUACCCUAACGGGUGUAGGAAAAAAGAGUGUGACAGUACACACUGGAAUGAAGUACGCAGACUUGGUCAGCCGAACCACGAUCACCCAAAUGACAUCGAACUUCCUCAAAGUCGGUGGGAGUCCAACUAUGAAGUCCAUGGUGAUAUGCUCCCACUUCCACUCUGGAAUCUCUAUUUGUUGAAGCAAGCCACCCGAUCUCUGGUGCUCAUACUUCACCUGUUGACAAUUUGAAGCACCGAGCUACAAGCCCAACUAUAUCUUUCUUCAUCCGCCUCCACCAAUAGUGCUGUCUCAAAUAUUGGUACAUCUUCGCGACACCUGGAUGGAUGAAAUACCGCAAACUAUGGGCCUACUCUAGAAUCAACUCUCGAAGCCCAUCAACACUGGGUACACAUAUCCGAUCCUACAUCCUCAAUACCCCUUCAUAACCAAUGGUCACAUCUCUAGCAUCACCUGCAGAACCUUGUCCUUGAGGACAAACAAAUGAGGAUCAUCAAAUUGAUGCUCUCUGAUAUGAUCAAACAAGGAAGACUGAGAAAUCACACAUGCUAGAACCCGACUGGGCUCCGAAAUAUCCAACCUCACAAAUUGGCUGGCUAGGGCCUAAACAUCCAUCGCCAUGGGCCUCUUUGCUGUUGGUAAAUAAGCCAAACUUCCCAAACUCUUUGCCCGGCGACUCAAAGCAUCGACCACCACAUUGGCCUUCCCCGGGUGGUAUAAUAUAGUGAUGUCAUAAUCCUUAAGCAGCUCUAAGAACCUUCUCUGGCGCAAAUUAAGGUCCUUCUGCUUGAACAGAUGCUGCAAACUCUGGUGAUCAGUGUAGAUCUUACAAGGAACACCGUACAAAUAAUGACGCCAAAUCUUCAAGGCGUGAACAAUAGCAGCUAACUCGGGAUCAUGGACAGGAUAAUUCUUCUCAUGCACAUUCAACUUUCUAGACACGUAGGCAAUCACCCUACCGUCCUGCAUCAAUACCGCUCCAAGGCCAAUCCUUGAUGCAUCACAAUAGAUAGUAUAAUACCCUGAACCUGUAGACAAUAUAUACACUAGGGCUGUAGUCAAAGCUGUCUUGAGCUUUUUGAAGCUCUCCUCACACUCUUCCGUCCACUUGAAUGGAGCACCUUUCUGGGUCAACAUGGUCAUAGGUGUUGUAAUAAAAGAAAAUCCCUCAACAAAUCGACGGUAAUAACCCACCAAGCCAAGAAAACUAUGAAUCUUUGUAGCUGAGGAUGGUCUGGGCCAACUCUGCACUGCCUCUACCUUCUUUGAAUCCACCUUGAUACCCUCACUCGAUACUACGUGACCCAAGAAUGUCACGGAAUCCAACCAAAAGUCUUAUUUCGAGAACUUCGCAUAUAACUUCUUUUCUCUCAAAGUCUGAAGCACUGUCCUCAGGUGCUGCUCAUGAUCUUUCCGACUCCGGGAGUAUACCAGGACGUCAUCAAUAAAGUCAAUGACGAACGAGUCAAGAUAUGGCUGGAACACAUUGUGCAUCAAAUGCUUAAAUGCUACUGGGGCAUUGGUCAUCCCAAAUGACAUAACAAGGAACUCGUAAUAACCAUACCGAGUCCUGAAAGUAGUUUCGGGAUAUCUGACUCUCGAAUCUUCAACUCAUGAUAACCUGAAUGAAAGUCAAUCUUAGAAAACACUCGAGCACCCUGUAACGGUCAAACAGAUCAUCAAUACGGGGCAAGGGAUACCGGUUCUUCACUAUAACUUUGUUCAAUUGGCGAUAAUCAAUGCACAUAUGCAUAGAACCAUCCCUUUUCUUCACAAACAUGACAGAAGCACCCCAAGGUGAUACACUGGGCUGAAUAAAACCCUUGUCAGACAAUUCCUGCAACUGCUCCUUCAACUCCUUCAACUCAGGAGGAGCCAUAUGAUAAGGAGGAAUAGAAAUGGGCUGAGUGCCCAGCAACAAAUCAAUGCCGAAAUCAAUAUCUCUGUCGGGCGGCAUACCCAGAAGAUCAGCUGGAAACACAUUAGGGAAGUCUCGUACUACUAGGACUGAAUCAACUAUAGGGGUAUCAAUACUGACAUCUCUCACAUAGGAUAGAUAUGCGUCACACCCCUUCUCAACCAUUCGUUGGGCCUUAAGGACUGAAAUAACUCUACUGGGAGUGUGAUCUAAAGUACCCCUUCACUCUACUCGCGGUACACCUGACAUAGCCAUCGUUAUGGUUUUGGCGUGACAAUUAAGAAUAGCAUAAUGGGGCAACAAUCAGUCCAUGCCCAAGAUAACAUCAAAAUCUACUGUGCUGAACAAUAAUAAAUCAGGUCUAGUCUCAAAAACACUAAGAGCAAUCAAACACGACCGAUAAACGCGGUCCACAAUAAAGGAAUCUCCCACACGAGUAGAAACAUAAAUAAGGGAACUCAAAGAGUCCCGAGAUACGCCUAAAUGCGGGGCAAAAUAAGAGGACACNNNNNNNNNNNNNNNNNNNNNNNNNCAAUAUAGGAAAGAAGGGCAUAGUAUCUGGUCUAAACUCCCCUUUUAGGGCAACCUCUACCUCCCCGACCUCCACCUCUAGCUGGCUGAGCAGGUAGGGUAGCAACUGGUGCUGGGAUCAUAGCCUGAGAACUCUGUGGAGCACGUUGUGGCUGAGAAACUUGUGGAAGUGCACCUCUCCUAAGUCUGGGGCAAUCUCUCACCAUAUGGCGUGUGUCGCCACUCAAAACAAGCUCUGGGAGGACGUGACAGUUGUGACUGGCUCAGGCCAGGUUUGUUGUACUGACCACUGAAAGCACCCUGUGGAGGAGGCUCACUAGAUACUGGAGGUGCAUAAUAAGGCUCCUGAGGUCUAGGAGAGCUGGAAUAACACUAGCCGCUAGAAGAGCUGAAUGAAGGGGCGACUCAUAUAACCCCUACCAUGACGAACUGUAGCUGGAGCAUAGGCACCAGAAUAAUGGCCCGACUCUCGAGACCUCUUGGCCUCCCUCUCCUCUCUAUCCUGAGCAAGCAUGCCCUCUACUCUCCUAGCAAUGCUCACCACCUGCUGAUAAGAAAUAUCCAUCUCCAACGCCCGAGCCAUGCUGGACCUGAUGCUGGGAAUGAGCCCCUCAAUAAACCGACAAACUCUCUCAAGAACUGUAGAAACCAAGGCCGGUGCAUGUCUAGCCAAGUCGGUGAAACGGACAGCAUACUUCGAAACAGUCAUAAUACCCUGGCGCAAAUGCUCAAACUCUGCGUGCCAUGCGUCCUUGAGGCUCUGAGGAACAUACUCCCACAAGAACAUAUCUGAAAACUGGGUCCAUGUAAUGGAAGCUACCUCAGCUAGACUGUCCAACUCAAAAGUACGCCACCACUGAUAAGCUGCUCCUCGAAGCUAGAAGGCGGUAAAAGAAACCCCACUCGAUCCCGAUGUACCCAGAGUACGGAGGAUACGGUUGCACUCCUCCAGAAAUCCCAGUCAUCCUAUGAUGCUAGACCACUGAAUGUAGGAGGCUUGUACUUCUUGAACCUCUCAAGCCUCCGCUGCUCAUUAUCGGUCGAGUAGUGAUGAGGAAGGUCAUGACCCUACUGGUUAUGUAUAUAAAACAAGGUAAAACAGUAUGAAAUGUGACAAUAUAGUUAAAAUACUAACAGUCGAGUAAGAAUAAAAUCACAGAAAAAAUAUAACUCAGUACAUAGUGAUAGCAACCGGGGAUCUCCCGGGAUAUCGUCCCAUAGUCCCAAACGUAAAUGUGCAGAGGAUCUCCCGGGAUAUCGUCCCGUAAUCCAAAUCAUAAAUAUGUAGGGGAA